AUGCAAUGGGGGCACCGGCGG
rnacentral:misc_RNA from 1 species